rnacentral:rRNA from 1 species
GUGUCAGCAGCCGCGGUAAGACGUAGGAGGCGAGCGUUAUCCGGAUUCACUGGGCGUAAAGCGCAUGUAGGCGGUUUGAUAAGUCCGGUGUUAAAGCCCCUGGCUCAACUGGGGGAGGUCAUUGGAGACUAUUAGACUUGAGGGCAACAGAGGCACGUGGAACUCCCGGUGUAGCGGUGGAAUGCGUAGAGAUCGGGAAGAACACCAGUGGCGAAGGCGACGUGCUGGGUUGCAACUGACGCUGAGAUGCGAAAGUGUGGGGAGCAAACGGGAUUAGAUACCCCGGUAGUCCACACUGUAAACGAUGAACCCUAGGUGUGGGGCGGUAAAACGCUCCGUGCCGAAGCCAACGCGUUAAGGGUUCCGCCUGGGGACUAUGAGCGCAAGCUUAAA